AGACAGACAGGUGAGACAGACAGACAGGUGAGACAGACAGACAGACAGGUGAGACAGACAGACAGGUGAGACAGACAGACAGGUGAGACAGACAUACAGACAGACAGGUGAGACAGACAGACAGGUGAGACAGACAGACAGGUGAGACAGAC